ACCUGGCUGGCUCAGUCGGUGGAGCGUGUGACUCUUGAUCUUGGGUUGUAAGUUCGAGCCCCAUGUUGGGUA
rnacentral:tRNA from 1 species